AGAACGAACGCUGGCGGCGCGUCUAAGCAUGCAAGUCGAACGGCAAGAGGUAGCAAUACCUCCUAGAGUGGCGGACUGGUGAGUAACACGUGGGUGACAUACCCUUCAGAUGGGGAUAGCUAUUAGAAAUAGUAGAUAAUACCGAAUACGAGCACAGGGGUUAGAGAUCUGUGAGGAAAGGAGCUAAGGCUCCGCUGAAGGAAUGGCCUGCGGCCCAUUAGCUAGUUGGUGAGGUAAGAGCCCACCAAGGCGAUGAUGGGUAUCCGGCCUUAGAGGGUGAACGGACACAUUGGGACUGAGAUACGGCCCAGACUCCUACGGGAGGCAGCAGCUAAGAAUAUUCCGCAAUGGACGAAGGUCUGACGGAGCGACGCCGCGUUGGAUGAAGAAGGCCGGAAGGUUGUAAAAAUCCUUUUGAAACUGAAGAAUAAGCGUUGUAGGGAAUGACAGCGUGGUGACAGUAGGUUUUGAAUAAGCAACGGCUAAUUACGUGCCAGCCGCUGC
rnacentral:rRNA from 1 species